CCUACGGGUGGCAGCAGUGGGGAAUAUUGGACAAUGGGCGAAAGCCUGAUCCAGCCAUGCCGCGUGUGUGAAGAAGGCCUUCGGGUUGUAAAGCACUUUCAGUGGGGAAGAAAGCCUUGGGGCUAAUACCCUCGAGGAAGGACAUCACCCACAGAAGAAGCACCGGCUAACUCCGUGCCAGCAGCCGCGGUAAUACGGAGGGUGCGAGCGUUAAUCGGAAUUACUGGGCGUAAAGCGCGCGUAGGCGGUCUGAUAAGCCGGUUGUGAAAGCCCCGGGCUCAACCUGGGAACGGCAUCCGGAACUGUCAGGCUAGAGUGCAGGAGAGGAAGGUAGAAUUCUCGGUGUAGCGGUGAAAUGCGUAGAGAUCGGGAGGAAUACCAGUGGCGAAGGCGGCCUUCUGGACUGACACUGACGCUGAGGUGCGAAAGCGUGGGUAGCAAACAGGAUUAGAUACCCGAGUAGUC
rnacentral:rRNA from 1 species